GAUGAACGCUGGCGGCGUGCCUAAUACAUGCAAGUCGAGCGAAUGGAUUAAGAGCUUGCUCUUAUGAAGUUAGCGGCGGACGGGUGAGUAACACGUGGGUAACCUGCCCUUGACUCUGGGAUAACUGCGGGAAACUGUAGCUAAUACCGGAUACGACCCUCGACGGCAUCGCCAGGGGGUGGAAAGAAUUUCGGUCAAGGAUGGACUCGCGGCCUAUCAGCUAGUUGGUGAGGUAACGGCUCACCAAGGCGACGACGGGUAGCCGGCCUGAGAGGGUGACCGGCCACACUGGGACGGAGACACGGCCCAGACUCCUACGGGAGGCAGCAGUGGGGAAGAUUGCACACUGGGCGCAAGCCUGAUGCAGCAACGCCGCGUGAGGGAUGACGGCCUUCGGGUUGUAAACCUCUUUUAGUAGGGAAGAAGCGAAAGUGACGGUACCUGCAGAAAAAGCACCGGCUAACUACGUGCCAGCCGCCGCCGUAA
rnacentral:rRNA from 1 species